CGAACGGGUGAGUAACAUAUCGGAACGUACCGGGUAGCGGGGGAUAACUGAUCGAAAGAUCAGCUAAUACCGCAUACGUCUUGAGAGGGAAAGCAGGGGACCUUCGGGCCUUGCGCUAUCCGAGCGGCCGAUAUCUGAUUAGCUGGUUGGCGGGGUAAAGGCCCACCAAGGCGACGAUCAGUAGCGGGUCUGAGAGGAUGAUCCGCCACACUGGGACUGAGACACGGCCCAGACUCCUACGGGAGGCAGCAGAU
rnacentral:rRNA from 1 species